GGCCGGGUGGCAGAGUGGUGAUGCGGAGGACUGCAAAUCCUUAUAUACCGGUUCGAUUCCGGUCCCGGCCUCCA
rnacentral:tRNA from 1 species